GACGAACGCUGGCGGCGUGCUUAACACAUGCAAGUCGAGCGGAAAGGCCCUUUCGGGGGUACUCGAGCGGCGAACGGGUGAGUAACACGUGAGUAAUCUGCCCUGGACUCUGGGAUAGCCACCGGAAACGGUGAUUAACACCGGAUAUGACACCUUGCUGCAUGGUGGGGUGUGGAAAGUUUUUUCGGUCCAGGAUGGGUUCGCGGCCUAUCAGCUUGUUGGUGAGGUAAUGGCUCACCAAGGCUUUGACGGGUAGCCGGCCUGAGAGGGUGACCGGUCACACUGGGACUGAGACACGGCCCAGACUCCUACGGGAGGCAGCAGUGGGGAAUAUUGGACAAUGGGCGGAAGCCUGAUCCAGCAACGCCGCGUGAGGGAUGACGGCCUUCGGGUUGUAAACCUCUUUCAGUACCGACGAAGCGUGAGUGACGGUAGGUACAGAAGAAGGACCGGCCAACUACGUGCCAGCAGCCGCAGUAAUAC
rnacentral:rRNA from 1 species